GUAGCAGUCGCAUACAAGACUAUCAGCAGAACAGGGUACUCCCGGGAUUGUACAUUUGGAGACAAUGACAAAUCUUGGAAGUUACAAUUUACCAGUGAUGGAUAUCACUUUGCGCACAACAAAGUCUUAACUGUUAUCUUAGGUCCGCAGUCCUCCAGAGUAGGAGUGUACCUGGAUCACAGAGCAGGUAUUCUGUCCUUCUACAGCGUCUCUGAAACCAUGACUCUCCUCCACAGAGUCCAGACCACAUUCACUGAGCCGCUACAUGCUGGACUGAGGUUAGGCUGGUCUUAUGGAACCUCUGUUGAGUUUAUUGAAGUGAAAUAAAGAGAAUUUUGAGUCAAUCAGACCAAAAACAUGUAAUGAGAUCAUUGAACUCUUGAAAUGUUUGUAAAUGUUUGUGGAUCAGUCUCACCAAAAACUCUCGGUUUAUUUCUUCAUUUCAGCUUUCUCUUUCUUUUCUAAAGAUGCUGAUUUGGUUGCAGCUUUAAGGACAGUGAUUGUGGAUAACUUUGAUUGUUUGUAUUUCUCAUUUUGAAAAAUCUUCAUAAAGUUUGAUAUCAACAACAUCAAGAUGAUCAUUUGUUCAAAUCACCUUUAGUUGGUGCAGAUUUUGAAGGUCUGAGACUUUAGAAAAAAGUGACGUCAAAAUAAGGAAAGAAAGAUGAAAAAGGGCAACCUUAUUUCCUGUCCCAAAUCCAACCGUCUAAAGUCUUUCCUGUCGUCCCCAAAAACUCUUUAGAUGAUCUGUUUCUUUCUCUGUUUGCUGAAUAUUUGUAUUCAUGUGAUCGAUGGGUAUUUCUGUCUGCUUCUGUUGGAUCAGUGUGUUUGUAAAGACAUCUAUAAUGAGACUUUUGUCAGAUCAACAUGUUAUGAGCUUUUCAAUCACGAUAAUAAUAAUAAUCACAUUCAUUAGUCCGACUGUUUUUAUGUUUCUGACUCAGCUCAGAUUGUGGUCAAGUCUCUGAUUGUGGGUGAAAACAAUAAAAAUCAUCAAACUGAGUCACUGAAAGUAUCUCGCCUGUUUUUCUUGAUGGUUUAGUGUAACGUCAGUGAGCCCAGACUGAAUGACCUGGGGGUUAGACAACAUGCUGCCCAAAAAGGAUAAAUAGGGGAAUCAGAAGAAGAAAGAGAGGAAAGAAAAAGAAAGAGGGGAGGCAGCUGUUGACUGCUUUCUUUCCCAAAGGUGAACCCAGUUUGUUCUGUAAAGUCCAGUUAAAGUUAACGUAGUCCACUCCAGACAGCUGCUGCUGAUGUUUGUAUGCUAACAUGAAGUCUUUAGCUUAGCUAGCUGCUAACCAGGCUGCUUGCUGCUGUGAGUAUAAAGAGAAUUAUGGGCUAGCUAACGUUAGCUGUCAACAUUAGAGAGAGAGAGAGUUGCUGACUAACUGCGAGUUUUUCCCCUUCAGUUGAAAGUAAGUUCGUCUUUUUGUUCAGUCCGUUUCCUUCAGCCUAUCGUCUACUAACACAGCAGAGCUAAAAGUUAACCUCUGCUGAGACUUAAUAAAUGAUCCACUUAUCAAUAUUAUGCUGCAUAUAUCAACAUGUCACUAACCUACCAAUAUCACUGUAGGCUCAAGUUCAUACUAGUAAUAUAUUAGCUGAGCAAUAAAGCAGUUAAUUUUUUCUGUCUGGUAAAAAGCCUGAACACUGUAGUGCAGUGCUGUGCUUAAAAGAUAUCAAUAAAUUCAUGAUGUUACCAAAGCCAAUGAAUAAUCAUUUUAAAUAACUGUGUUCAUAAUAUCAAUAAAAAAUAAUUAUGAUUAUGAUUUUUGCAAUAGAGAGACAGAGGUGUAGGUGGUGAGAACAUGGAGAACAUAGAAAAAAUAGCUAUUAGAACUACUCAUCAAUGUUAUCUGAUCUGAUUGUAGCUUUAAACUCUAUUUAUGCUUUUUUAGAGUUUACAGGGCCCAGAAUGUGGUGCUACGCCCCUGACUGUAACCAUGACAACAGCUAUGAGACCUACUGUAUCAUGAUAAUGAGCGAAAACGAUCACAUCAAUAUUGAACUCAGAGUUAAGAAGGAAAACUCUUCCUGGAUGUUAAAUUGAAGUGCUGGUUUCUUUAUUUCUUUGUGGUGUUUUCAUGUUUUUUCUUCUUUUAGUCGCUCGGUGAGGGUAAACCGAGUUUGUCUGCAGUUCAGCAGAAUCAGCAGGGAGCAGCCUGACUCACACAAAGUGGAAGCAAUAACAUUAAUGAUCCUCUAUAAAACGAGAGAAAUGCACUGUUUAUUGUUAGGAUAUUAUUCUGCAGAUAUUUCCAAGGAGGCAGUUCCCACAAUGUCUUCAUGAAAUGUUUAUAGCUCCAAAUCUGUAAAACUACAUGAUGAAAAAAAAAACAUAAAAAGAAAGAGAGUCGACAUUUUCAGACCAAACCUUAUCUUUACAGAUCAUCUGUAUUUGCAUCACAAACCUUGAAAAGCAAAAGCAGAAAUAUAAUUAUUGACCCGAUAACAGCCUCAGAUCAGAUGUUUGUUUUCUCUCGGUGCACCGUGACCUUUUUUGCACCAUCGCCCAGCUGUUCAGUAAUAAACCAUCUGGUACUACUAGGACACGUCAGCCUGGGGUUAAAGGGCAUUUGUGAGGUAUGUAAACAUUGUUUUAACCUGCUGUCUUGCAGUGCAAACAACCAUCAAACCAAACAAUUAAAGGUCAAGUCAGAGCAUCAGCCUGCUAAUAUCAUAAACAUUUAGACGAGCAUUAAUCACAUCAUAAAAGGUGCAUUUUUUAUUAUUCACCUUUAAUUGAACAAUUUUAUCAACAUGGACGACCUCAUUGAGUGUAUUAACUACAGUAGAUAUCAGUCAGCUCUGUCUUUUAAGAAAGUGACCACAUGCAGGCUAGGCUACAGUGUUAAUAUGGUGACAUGUAACUCCUAUGACCCCACUUCAAUUAUGGGCUUUGUGAAAUUUUUUUGUUUGUUUUUACCAGGACUGAGUCUUGGCUUUAUGGGAGGAUGCUUCUUGUAAGAGAACUUUUUCAACCAGCCCAUAUUAUAGCCCUUUUCAGCAGGUUAACAUCGGUCUCAGAGGUCCCAGAACAGUCAAUUUGAAGCUUGUUGUCUAAACCCAUUUGUUUCCUGGAGUUCAGCCAGCCUGAAAACUCUCUCUAGUGAGCUCUACCGAGAACACGCUGUUUCUAUGGGCUGCGCCUGUCCACGCCUCCUUCAGCGCAAGCCACGCCCCUCCCUGUCUCUCUGGAAGAGAGGGGUCUUGGCUUGCCAUGACUUUGGUACCAUGAGCUAAUGUUUACACAGAGUGUGAAUGCUAGUGCUAGCCGUACCAGUUGAUCCAGAGUCUAACCCAGAAGGACGUUUCUGAAUGGUUAGUUACAAAUAUUAUGUGUCUCCAUAUUUUUCUUCUUUCUUUGUCCGUGUGUUGGUACACAGUGACUUACAUGUAGCUAGGUAACAUUAGCUCCUGCUAACGGUUCCAUCUCUGCUGUCUUCUCGUUACUUAGAGCUCUUUUUGGUGAAUGCGCAAUACUGUAAGUAUCGUUAUCUCUCAUGACGAUGUUCUUGCAGUCUACGGAAACAGACGUCUGUGCUGCUUCGUCCAGCCAACAACAGAGCAACUGCAGUACCUUGCUCGCGUUCCUUCGCCAUUCUGCGAGGGAGAAAAAUAGUGUCUGAGUGGAAACUUCUGGGGGGCAGAACAAACAUCUUGGGCAGGGGGGUCACCAACCUGGAAGGGAAGACUUAUCGCUGUCCAUGGCAUCACGGACGGUGUGAUAGUUUCAAUCCACUAGUGGAACAAGCAAGAGAGGGAGAGGAUAGAGUUUUUGUAGACAGGCUGCAGAUGCAUAUUAUUGUUAGAAAACCAUUCAAAGGUGAAUUUUGCAUAAUAUGGGACCUUUAAGUCUGGUUUACUCCUCUGUGUCGAACCUAUAACAUGGAAAUAUCUACCAUCGUCAUAUCGCUGUGUUCCAGUCAUGGAAACCAUGGCAACAGAAGAUGAACCUGAUAUAUUUGAGUUAGAUGUUGUCCAGCAGUUGAUUGUGCUUUAACGCUUGAAGGUGGAUGUUGAAGGACACAGACUAUAUGUCUGAUGAGGAGGAGGACAUCAGCAAUACUAGAAAUGUCUGAUGUCAAGCAGUUACACGGGUUUCUGCGAAGGGUACUAACUACGUGUAAUAUGAACUCUGAUGGUUAAGAUAAAAAUUGCUUGCAUUAGGUAAAGUUUGCAGAACAGAAUGAAGAGCAGAGAUUUAUGUUAGGAGGUUUCUCCAUCAAAGACCGUCCUGUUUAAUCAAGGUUAUAAAGAAAGGUCCUGUUGGUGUCUGAUCUGAACUGAAGGUGGUAAAAAAGCAGCAGUGACAUGAGGAUGUUCGCCUCUCUGCCUCUCUGCCUCUCUGCCUCUCUCUGCAGCAGCUCCGAGCUCUGUCAAACCUCUUCAUUGAACUGAGGGCAGUUUCACCUGACAGUCAGACGGUGUGGCUGCAGAGAACCUGCUGCUCGCUGACAGACUGCAGGCAGAAACCCGCCACGCCGAACAAACAAGAUGUGAACCUGAAAACUGCCCGGACAGCUGGGCUUUUCUAAUGAGGGUUUAAUAAUUGUAAACAUGCAAUUAAACCAAACAGCACUGAGCGGACAAACACUGGCUGCCAAUGUAUGGUCUUCAUUUCAUUCUUCUUUCGCAUGAGGCAGCAUCUGAAGUUUAAGGCACUCUCCCUCCUAGUGGUUGGGUAGUGUAACUACAGCUUGAAAUCUGCCAAUCUCACUCUGAAUUAGCGCUGAGUGAUAUGGGGAAAAGUUCAUCUCAAUAUAUUUUUUUCAUAUCAGUUGAUAUCGUUGUAAAUCACGAUAUAAAAAAUGAAAUUUCAUAGUGCUUUUUGGUAGCAUGUCUUUGUGUCUCUUCGACAUUUUGUUGUGUUGUGCGCCAGCGAAAGCAGACUGAAUGGUCGGCUGUUUCGGCUGCACAGGCGCCAUGGGCACCUUACUCCACUCAGGGUUUGAAACCUUUUGCAUUGUGCGUGGCGCUGCUUCAGGUGGUGAAAAAGAUCUGAGGUAUUCCCGACUUUGAGAACAUGUACUGUAUGCCAAUGUUGUCAACGAUGUCAGGGUCUGCAUUUCUGUAGGGGUAGCACACAUUUUCUUUUUUUCUGUGCUGUCUGCUUCACGUGUUUAAGUGCUAUGGUUGCGUGUAGCUGCAGCCCACUUUUACGCAGUUGUUUGCUACUUGGUUCUAAUUCAGCACAAUUGGUUCAGCCCGAAGCGAACCUGGAGCAACUCCUCUUUACAUUGGCUAUUUGUAUAGUCUACCAAAACAUGUCAGAAUGCCGACUAUCAAAAAGGAUAUUGACCAUGUUUUAUAUCGAUAUCGAGGGCAAUUAAUUUUCGAUAUAUAUCGUUCUUGUUUUAUCGCCCAGUCCUACUCUGAAUCAUCUUGUCCCGUUGGAGUCACUAAUACUCAGUCUUUUCUGGAAGUUCUUGAGCUCCAUCAUCCUGCAGCUUCCUCUGAAAUGGAUCUUUGAGGAACCGUUUUGAUUCUGAAAACCUGGGUGUAAGGAUGCCUAGCCCAGGUUCACACUUGAAAGAAUAGACGGUUCACACAAAUGGUCAGUUUGACAAGCUUUACUGGUUGCAGAUCUGGGUUACAGCUUCAUCAUACCACAAGUGUAACCAAGACUGGUCUGAGACUGUUCAAGUAUAUCAGUUGUUCACAUUUUGAAGCAUUCUGCUGGCAUUUAGUUGACCUGAAGAAGAGUCCAUGUAGGGUGAGAACAAAGGACAACAUAUUUUAAGGAGCCUUAGGUAUGGGGCAAAUAUGGGGAGCCCAUAUAGGGGAAUACCAUAGCAUUUGUUGAGGAUGGUUGUCGGAGGCCCCCGGCUCCAGCAGUCUAACACCAACGUAUCCAGGGUAUCUGAGUUGCAUGGCUCCAUCACCCUAAAGGCUGAUGGGAUGGGCUGAAGAAAAUUCUCCUAACACUGGGUCUCUUUUUUGCAACCAUUGAAUACAGCAUGUAUUAGCUUAUAGGGCCAGUGUCGAGCUUGUUGUUUGAGCCAGUUUAAUCCUGAACAGUGCUGGAUAAAGAACUGUGUGAAUUACCCUCAAAUAAUCAUGAUUUUUACUGACUUCCAGAGGAGGAUUCUCAGUUAACUCCUGUGCAGAAACUUCAAACAACACUAACUCAGCCUGUAUUUUCUCUGCGUAUUUAACACACCAUCAUGAAGCGAGAGCAGCAGAUGAUUCAGCAGACAACAGACGUCCACUUUAAUUAACAGUUUCUGCACAAACAGCGCAGGAGGUCCGCUCACCGGCUCGUCCGCUCCUGCUGUUUGUGUUCCUGGACGUCAGGCUGAUCUCUGCAGACAGUUAGCUGCACAGCAAGAGGAGACAGACCGAAGACAGAGGAGUCUGCACGCUGCUCUGUUGACUCCUGGAGGUUCAGUGUAGAGACAAAACCUCAUCAUGGAGCAUGGUCUCAUGAACUGAGAGCGUCACAGAUCGACUGUCACCAAAGAAACCCACAAUUUGGUUGAUUUAUUCAUUUUUUCCUGAGGAUAAACUGAUAAAUUUUGUUAUCUUCUGCUUUUUAGUUGGUCUACUUUAGAGUGUUUCUGUGUGGUCGCGUGACGCUGACCCUGCCCCCUUUUGUGCACAAAUGAGGUCAGCUGAUCUCCGUCCUCUCCUGUGACCCAGGAGACGACUAAGAACCGAAUCAGUCAAACAUUUACAGUGAGGUGACAGCUGCCUUCAUCAACUCCAACACUCACUAUCACUCAGUGUGUGUGUGUGUGUGUGUGUGUGUGUGCGUUGGCAGGAGCUCGGUCUUGUCUCCAGAGUGUUUGUAAAUGGGACAAUUACCCCAGUCUGCUCCUGUGACUCUGGAUACACACAACACAAGUGUGUGUGUGUUUCUGUGUGUGUACAUACUCUACAUGUGUAAUAGCAUGAGCAGCUGCCAAAACGAGUGUGUGUCUUUCUCAUUUAUUGUAUUUCUUGGCAGAGUGUGUGUGUUUUGGCAGAAGAUGUAUGACUCAGUGUAAGUGUGUGUGUGUGAGACGGGGAACAGAUGGGGGGGUUGUCCAUCAGCUGUUUAUUGUGCUGAGUCCUCACUUUUUCAUAAUGAAUGGACCUGGAGGACACACACACACACACACACACACACACACACACACACACACACACACACACACACACACACACACACACACACACACACACACACACACACACUGUUGUAGGUAGUACUGUGUUUUCUUUAUCUAGUAAAUAAACAAUAUGACAGUAUUUUAACACUCGGUAUCAAACUGCAGUAACAGUACUCCAAUAUGAAAGAGAUAAUAAUUCAGAUCUUUAGAGGGACUAUAAUCUACUGCAGACCUCUUAUAUUUCACUAAGACCACCAAACCUUCCUGUUUCACAUUCAUAACUCGGUCCCUCGUGACUUGCUCUUUUCCUCUUCUCUGUGAUAUUAACAAAGGUCUCUGUCCAAGCUCUGAGAGUGUAUCUUUGUUUGGGAGUAUAUAAAGGUUCAUAAGUACAUUUUUUGAGAUGAAUCAAAACAAUUGACAUGCCUGCUUUUGUUCCCUUUAACUGUCUUCACACACCAAGCGUGAGUAAAAUCAUUUGCGCCAAUGAGUUACAUGUUAAGUCAAUGCAAAGACGUGAUUAGACGCUCCUAGUACUCUGGCGGCACAAAUUGGGCAGGAGCUGAAAAUGUCUGAACCUGAGUGGAUAUUCGUGUCGCGGUAACCAAUUGGCACAAAGGUUGCAGGGUGACGUAUGAAAAUGGAGGGUUGUUCACUGGUAUCUAAAAUGGAGGACAAACUGAUCGUGUCAGUGUGUGGGUGCCCGAAUUGUUUGAUACCUUUUCUUUCAAUUAUCGAAACCGGAAUAAAAAGGAGCUCGCCUGGAGGAAAGUGAGUGGGGAGAUCGGAUUACCUGGUAAAUUGUAAAAAAUCUUUGUCAUUGGCGCGCGAAUGAAGCGAGUAAAUACUAUCCAUUCAAGCGUCUAGAUUUGGGUGAAUUAAGCGGGUAGAUGAUUUUACUCGCGCUUGGUGUGAGCGCCCGUAAGCGUCAGGUCAGCUUUGAGGCUGGUGGGUGUUACUAUUAACACAGCAGGUGUAACUCCCCUCCUUCUUCUAAGUCUUUAAAAUCCAGAAAACAGGUCUUAAGGUCGUUACACACUGGUGAAUUAGCGAUGCAAAAUAUUCAGCUUACGUCUUUUCCUAUACACACCUGGUGAGAGGCAAAUAUAAUUUGAUAUUAGCAUAAAAAUACGCCACGGGAGAAGAGACUGAGAGAGAAGAAGGAGUAACAAUGGUGACUACAUCCUCAAGUAAUGAUGACCUGGUUAUGGUUGUAAGACAAAUAAAUAACAAAAGAAAAAGAAGAAUCCAAGUGUCUGGGUACAUCCAAUACUGACUUUGCGACUGGAGAUGGGGGGGGCUCCACACAACGAUCCAGGGGCUCAAAUUGUAUCCCGAGAAAUUCCGACAAUACUUCAGAAUGUCCCUCGGACAAUUUCAAGAACUGCUCCAUCAGCUGACUCCACAUUUGCAGGAGAGGACAAAUUACGGAGAGCUGAUUGAUCCAGAGCAACGGCUCGCCACAUGUCUGAGGUAAGAUUGAUAUUAGGCUUUAGAUUUAUACAACAGUUCGUCUGCAAAUGUUCGCCAAAUUCACUUCAGAGGCGAAAAAAUUAGUAAUUUUUUUUCGCUCUGCGGAAGUUCAUAGCUGUUGUGGAAGCUUGCAUUGACUUUAUGAGGUUUUAAAAAAAAAAUUAAUUAUUCGCUUCGCAAACUCACUUUGCUAAUUCACCAGUGUGUAACGACCUUUAACCACUGUAUGAGUUACGUCAGUGGAUAUUUUGUUAAAUCUCCUAAAAUGAUCCCUGUGAACAGCAGAAAUGAAAGUGAAAUAUUGGAGAGUGCGCAUGAUGGAGAGUCAGACUUGAGGUAAAGCUGGUGGGUGAUACUUCCUAAUGCCUUUGAAUGCUGCUGUGCAUCUCUGUCAAAGUGUAAAAAACAAAUAAAUAUAUGUUGUGAUCUCUUGAGCCGCUAAUGUGGCCUCUUCCUAUCAAAUAUUUGUUUGUUAUAAUCUGAAUCUUGCCAAAGUAUGUAAAUAAAGUUUUCAGAUUUUUGUGGCUCAGUCAGAAGUUAAAUGUCCCUCUGAGAUUCAGCAGUUGUCAGAAAGUGUAAAUUCUCCUGUAAUUUUUAACCGUAAUUGAGGAAACGCAGCUGGUCCUCUCCUCAGUUUACAUUACGCGGUCACACGAACUCGUGUUUCCCUUCAUAAACUUGACUGUCACCUCCCGAAAUAAAACAUUUGGAUCUAUUUUAACCGAAGCUCAGCUCUUUAAUCAGGAACAAAAACCUUUAAACAACAAAACAAAUCUGCUGUCCGUCUUUUCAAGCGGCGGCCUCGUUUCCAGCCGUCUCUUCUCCUGCAGAGCCUUUGACGAUCAAUCUCACACAAACACACUCUCGCUCAGUGACACCCGCUCGCAAGCAAUCAGAUUUUCAGAUGUCUAAAUCAAGCUCUGUUUCAAAGAGUCUUUUUUUUCUAAAAUAAGAGAAGCUGAGCGGCUUUCAGGUGCUGCAGCUCUGAGGACUGAAAACUCUUCAGGGGAGAUUCAGAGCUCGCCUCCAGAGAGAUCGCCAUCUGUGAACAUAUGUGUGUCUAUGAAUGGAAAAGCUGGGUGCUUCUGGUGAAGUUAAGAUGUAUGGUGAUGAAUUACUUUAUCCCACAGACUAAGCAGUAGUUCGGAAUUAGAUCUGUUGUCACUUUGGAUCAGAAAAAUGUGUUACAACUUAAGGGGAUGUAAAUGAUGUUCCACCUCUUGGAUGAAGCCAUCUUUACGGAUCAUUUCAGAAUGCCAUUAAUCCGCUUGACUACUACUUGAUUGUUAAUCAGUGUUUAAUUAUCUUCCUGUAUCGUGUUUUCCAUCAGAUAAGUCCACAAUGUAUAGUUUCCAUGCAGCUGUGUAGCUCUUUCAAGCAUCAUCUGUUUUUACCAUGUGGAAUUUGCAAUCUUGCCCACUCCAAGCGCAACUUUCAGUCUUAGGAAAUGAAGCUGAUGUUGAAGUGUAAAAAACUGCAGUCCCGAACCUGAAUUUGCGGGCUCUUUUGAGUUCUCGCGAUUCUCACUGUCUGAAAUUUUGCCACAGAGUUCGCCUCAGAAGCACAUCUGGUAGGAAUUGGCAGACGGUGAAAAUCGACACCGUUUCGCUGUGGUGCCGUGGUGGAAAUUUGGGGUUAGGUUGCAAUCAAUACAGCUAUAGGGUUUCUGCUUGUAUACAAACAUACUUGCAGAAACUUUACACUCUGUGAUACGUUAGCAAAUUAAUACAGACGACUUUAUAUCAACACGCCUGAAGGAAGGGGGGGACAUAAUCACAAGACUGAUGGAUCUGUGUUUCUUUUGCAACAUCUGAAGCCAAAAUCACACAAAAAAGAAGAGAUGCAACUGUUAUAUAAGCCAGACGGCGAGUUUAGAGAGAGGCGGUGUCGUCUUCAGAGCCUCUUCAAACAUAUGAAGUGUGAUAUUUGCUUUAAUAAAACAGACCUGACUUGAAAAGCAAAGGCUAAUGUUAUUAAAGUCAUUCUCCCCAAAGACCGUCACGGCUAAUUUCUCUAAUUUUUGCGGGAAAAAAUCCUCCGAAUGUGCAGAGACCGCCUUCAUCUAUCAGAGGGGCGACUGUCGACCACGAUUAACCCACACAUCUCUGCUUUCAGGGCCUGCGAAUCUGCCGCCAGAUUCUGGCUUUUAACAAAAUUACAGAGGCUUGUGUAACCACGGCAGAGGUUUUCUCUAGUGGAAGAUUUGUGUUCAUGAAUUAUUUAUUUUUAGUUGUUUUUCCACAUGCAGAGUGUCUGCAAAGCUCCGAAGGAACACAGGCAACAAUGUCACACACCACUUUCAGUGUUUCUCUCCUUUUCUACCAGAAUCCAAACUGAGCAGUCGUCGGUUGAAGAGUGUUUUGCAGAGCAUAAAGGCGACUAAUGGUUCGGUAAUGCCUCUCGGAGCUGCUAUUGUCGCUUCAUGAGUCACGAAAAUCAACAAGCAGGAGAGAAAAGUGUCACCAGAAGGACACAAACAGAAGUCAGAGGCAGUUAUUGAAGUUAUAAAAGAGGAGGAAAAGGAUUUAAAGACGGCUCUGUGGGUUUGUUUUUCUGUCUCAGAGUGAUUAAGAACGUCCAAACAAAGGAGAAAGAGAGAAAGGAGGGAGACAGAUGGGAGGAUGAGAGGCGAACAGAUAAAAAACAAAAGAAGGAGAGAGAGAAGUGUGCAGCAGAAGGUUCAGAUAAACAGGCGGUAAGCAGGUUAAUGAGGCGACAUUAAACAGAAUGACAGAGUGAGGACGGUAAUUAACACCUUCACAGGCUGACCUGAGAUCUGCAGGUAGAGCUCAUCCAUUACAUAACGCACACAAACACAAAGUCAGCUUACUUUAAACUUUAAUGAUCAGGAACCAGAAACGGAGAACGUCUUUGUUCUGCAGCUCUGAGCCGCCGAUGUUUUCGGUGAGGACGGAGUUUGAGUUUGUGCUCCACGAAUGAUUGUUUUUAAGAGAAAUGGAUAAAUAAAGACAGCGGGCAUCCAGUUCAUCAGUCAAUACAGUAUUGAAACUCUCCAACUCUCUAAUAACAGCAGGUACCAAUUAAUUAAUGUUCAACCUUGUCAGAAAAUCAGAGUUCGGUGAGCUACAAAGCCGCACAGCCUGAUGGCUUGUUGGAGCACUGCAGCUACCAUAGCCUUGUAGAGUUAUUGAAUGAGUUAAAUAAAGUUUGACUUAUCUUACUGUUUUGUUUGGCUUAAUGCGCUUUGUAAUCCGAUGCGGCUUAUUUAUGAAAAAAGACGUGAAUAGACGCGUUCAUUGAUGGUGCGCUUGAUGGUCAGGUGCGCCUUAUAGUGUGAAAAAUACGGUAAUUUUGCACUUAGUUUUCUCAUACGCCCAGUAGCAUCAGAAAAAUGAUGUAUAAACAUGUAGACAAGAAAAACAUGAUUUUCGUUGGAGUGUGUCUAUGUAUCUACUGAACUUUGAUGAAAGGUGAUUUUUUUGACGGUUAAAUUAUUUAUAAAAUAUUUCAAAAACCUGUUUAUAGAGAUUCUGUCUGCAUGAGUGUUUGUGUGUCUCACUUUCAUUUCCUCUUCCAGUUUCCUGAUCACUGCUGAGUCUCAGGAACAAACCUGCGGGCCACAUCAAUCACUGUCAGACCUCCAUGACCGCUGACCUUUGACAUCAUUGUUUCGGCCCUGUAUGACCUCUGUGUGCGGGAUAAUUCUGGAUAAAAGCUGACGAUGCAACAUUUACGCUCAGGUAUUCAAAUCUUUUGAUAUUUGUUCACAUGAGGUUUCCAACACAAAGAAAAACAGGGACAGAUGGUACCAACGCUAAAAUAAUAACGAAAUGAAAAUACGUCCCAGACAUGCACCACUUGAUUGAUUUUAAGAUAAGUUUCUGGUGAGCUCAAGAUGAAAAAAUAACACGUCCCUCUAACGCUGAAAGAUCUUCAACGCAACAUAAUUGAACAUUUGGAAAGUGUCUGUUUUGCAGAGUAGUUCAUUGCAGAUUUUAUCUUUUCUGUCGUAUUUCAGUAUUUUUGAUCAGAUGUGACACAAAUUAAAGUUUAACUCUUUAAUAUUGUCAAAAUGACUUUAUUUUGUAUUUUCAUAGCAAACAAUGAUUUCAGUGGUUUUAAAUUAAAACAAUGUCUUUAUUUACUUUGAGAUAAACACAAGUAUAUUCGAGAAACCCUCAUACUCUUUAUGAAAUCUUUGGACCUGAUCUGUGAAAGGAUUGUGUCGCUUUUGUCUUAUUUAGACAGUGCAUGCAAAGAGUUAAAAUCAUCUUAAACUGUGCGGCAAAUAAAGUGUGCACUGGAGCUGUUUGCAUUAAUUCGAAGGAGCUAUUUUGGAUCAUUUUUGUGCAAAAAAACAAACAAAAAGUGACAAUAAAGCUUCAUGACGUCUAAAUAUCAGGACAAUUCAACAAAAAUCUCUAAAAGUUCUGCAGUUCUGUGCCGUUAACUCCAGUUUUGUAUUAUUAGAUGUUUUGUGAGAUAAACCGUCAGCAUCUCAACUCUCUGCUGCACAGAGCUGCACUGUGCACGCUCAUCCUGAUAGACCUGAAUCCUGUUAAUGCAGAUAUGUUGCACUGAAUGAAGAGGGAAAGUCCAACACAGAACAAAACUUCUUCAUCGUGAGAGCAGACAGCAGAGGGUAGAGAUGCUGAUGGUUUAUUCCUGCACACAAGAAACAAGAGCAAACUGCACAAAGCCGCAUUUUUGUGCUUAAAUAUCGUCAGGGAAAUUCUGGACCAUGAGCUGGAGCAGGUGGUGAUGCAUAAUUUUUGAUGCUAACAAUAUUUGUGAAGUCAUCAAGUCUGUAACACCAGAGGUAGAAAGUUGCAUGAGAAGAGGAUAGCCAAGCACAGCAAAAGUACUUUCAGUCCAAACUUGAGUAGCUGAGAAGUUGUGUAAAAGUACAGCGACACUGUCAGGUAUUUUCUCUGAUUGUUAAACAUUUCCAACAUUUCUCAUCCUGUCAAAUAUAAAAUCAGACGUGUCGCUGAAACAGCAGACUGUAUAUUUACACUCUGACUUCAAUCUUUGUGUUUUAUGGCUCCGACUCGCCUCUCUUUGAGCUGUCAAAAUCCACCGAUAGUCCUAACUCCCACACACCCUGAAUGCAGCGUGCAGCUGUCACUGAUGGCAGCACAGUCCCUCCCUCUGUUAACAAAUGUCUUUCACAUUUAUAUGUCUGGAUGUUCUUUUUUUUACUGUUGGCAGUUUGAUAAUUUUGCUCAUUUUGGAGGCGGCUGUAGCGGAUAAAUUAUUCUUACUCUUCAGUCUUUUGACAAGAAUUAAAAUAAUGUAUCACUGACUUAAUUAUCUGGACUCAUAGCUAUUGUCAGGUUGAUUAUAUAUCAUGUAUUUAAGCUUCCUUAACCCCACUGCUCCCAGUAAUUUUCCACUCACCCCUUCUCUGUGGCCACUCCCACUUCAUUAGUCUACUCAGCUCACCUGUGCACUUUCUCUUGCAUGCUCUCUUGUAGUCCUGUAAACUACCUAAACCCUUUAGUCCCUGAACACAACUCCUGCUACAGCGCUCUUGGUUUCCUCAAACUUUCGCGUGACUCAGACUCGUCACCUUUUCCAACCUGAACC